rnacentral:lncRNA from 1 species
UGCCUGUUGUACAGAAUCUCAUCAAAUGGGAUGGGAGCACCUACCGCUGGGUAAGCUUUGGAAAGAAUCACAGUAAAAGCGGACACCGGCAUGCCUGUUACCCCCUGGUUAGCACUGACAAGAGGCAUCCCAGAAAGCCUGGGUCUCUGUCCGCUCUUUGUGAAGCCAUCAGGUAUGACUGCUUGGCUGGGAGGUCCUGGAGGUCCUGGGGGUCCUGGAGGACCUGGGAGACCAGGCUCUCCAGUAUGACCUCUUGGACCAGGACGCCCUGGAGGACCAGCGGGCCCAUUGAGGCCCUUAGUUACUAUUCCAGCUGGGCCCGGAGCACCUGGCUUUCCUGGGUCACCCUUAGAUCCAGGGAAUCCUGGGAUACCUGGUGGUCCAAUAGGGCCCCUGGUACCUGGUAUUCCAGGUUCACCUCUUGGACCUGCCUCACCAUUGUGUCCAGGCACUCCUUUAGGUCCUGUAGGGCCAACAAGACCUCGAAGACCAGGGGCUCCUCCCACUCCAGGAUCACCUUUUGGUCCUGGUAACCCUGGGUUACCCUUAGGACCAUUGAGACCUGGAUCCCCAGGAUAUCCUGUUUUUCCAUCUAACCCAGGGGGGCCCCUUGCUCCUCUAGCCCCGGGUGGCCCUGCAGGCCCCACCAGACCUGUCUCACCUUUAGUGCCUGGGAUACCAUGAUUCCCUGGGAUUCCUUUAGGUCCUUGGGGUCCCAUAUUCCCAGGGGAUCCAGUCAGACCUGGUUCACCAGGAUGACCUGCUGGCCCUUGUUCCCCUUUGGCACCUGGAGCCCCAGGAAGACCAGCAGGUCCCCUUUGUCCCCUCAAACCUGGCAAGCCUUGUUUUCCAAAGCCAGGAGCUCCUGGAGGCCCAGCUAUUCCUGGAGCCCCUGGGUGGCCUUUUUCUCCUGGGAUACCUGGCCGACCGGGGGAUCCAGUGGCUCCUGGCUUCCCAAUACCUUCUCGUCCUUGCUUCCCAGGAGGACCUUGUGGACCUGGUGGACCGGGUGGUCCCGCUUCUCCUGGGAAACCCCGGUCACCUUUUAUGCCAGGCUGUCCCGGAAAGCCAUUUUCACCUCUUCUUCCCACUCCAGGGGAGCCAGGGGGGCCUACAGGACCCUGAGGGCCUGGAAGACCCCUCUCACCUGGACGGCCAGGAGUGCCAUAUCCGGUUUC